UAGCGGAGCUAUUUAGAGUCUGUUAAAUUAUGCUUUGAAGCACAGAAAUGCCGAGGCAUGGACGCCGAGGCAAGGAGAUAUCGAGCCCGGACGGCGAGUAUCGACGGUUUCGUCAGGCAUAGAAGUACUUACUGCAUAAUUUAUACAGAGUCUUAAUAGCACAGCGU
ncrna:unclassified sequences TwoGGAY RNA